rnacentral:rRNA from 1 species
GAAGCAGCCAUCAUUUAAAGAAAGCGUAAUAGCUCACUGGUCGAGUCGGCCUGCGCGGAAGAUGUAACGGGGCUAAACCAUGCACCGAAGCUGCGGCAGCGACACUUAGGCGUUGUUGGGUAGGGGAGCGUUCUGUAAGCCGUUGAAGGUGUGCUGUGAGGCAUGCUGGAGGUAUCAGAAGUGCGAAUGCUGACAUAAGUAACGAUAAAGCGGG